AUCAGAAGACCUGAAGCCAGGAGUAUCUCAGACACAAAUCUCUGGUCUGGGCUCCGAUGUUCACACAGUGAUGCACGAUGAUCUGUGGCUGGAGCUUCAUCAUCAGUCGAACUAAGCUGUCUGAGCUUUUGAACCAGGGGGAAGACAGCUGGGAAUGCCUUCUCUUUAAGCAGCAGUUAUAGACAGACCCCUUGAAUUGAUCCAUGGGUCAUCGCAAGAUGUGGCGGGACCCCGUAGUCGCAACUACUGCGAUGCAUAAUAUAAAUUGCAUGCUUCUGUUCAACGAACACAUCACCUGGAUGUCAGAAGCUGGUGUUUCUGAAACUGUGGGAGGUGUUCUCUUGGCAAUAAACUAGUUCCUGUGUGUUAAAUGACAGUAGGGUCAGCUACUUACUUGGCAUGUCUCAUUAGUUCAUUUAGUUGUCAAUUACCUGCUUGUUCUAUUUAGGCAACUGACGGUUUAUAGUGCCUGUCCCCUGAAAUACAGUUAGAGAGUGGAGGCCUCUGAGGGAAGCUGGAGGAAGUGUCCACUUACUCUGCGGUACCUCAUUUGUUGCUGGAGUCCGUUCUGACCCUUUAUGUGCAUGAGCUACAAAAGGAUGUCUUUGUCUGUUCAUCUAGCGGCCAAAGUAUAUGCUGAACCUAGCACUGUUCAUUAUAAUCGGUAGGUACUUUAAGCCCCAAUAUUCUUAUUAUAGAUGCUCAUUCACCAAGAGCAUUUAGCCCUUCAA